rnacentral:rRNA from 1 species
UAGGGAAUCUUCGGCAAUGGGGGGAACCCUGACCGAGCAACGCCGCGUGAGUGAAGAAGGUUUUCGGAUCGUAAAGCUCUGUUGUUAAGGAAGAACGAGUGUGAGAAUGGAAAGUUCAUACUGUGACGGUACUUAACCAGAAAGGGACGGCUAACUACGUGCCAGCAGCCGCGGUAAUACGUAGGUCCCGAGCGUUGUCCGGAUUUAUUGGGCGUAAAGCGAGCGCAGGCGGUUAGAUAAGUCUGAAGUUAAAGGCAGUGGCUCAACCAUUGUAGGCUUUGGAAACUGUUUAACUUGAGUGCAGAAGGGGAGAGUGGAAUUCCAUGUGUAGCGGUGAAAUGCGUAGAUAUAUGGAGGAACACCGGUGGCGGAAGCGGCUCUCUGGUCUGUAACUGACGCUGAGGCUAGAAAGCGUGGGGAGCGAACAGG